rnacentral:rRNA from 1 species
UAUGAACGCUGGCGGCGUGCCUAAUACAUGCAAGUCGAGCGAACGGACGAGGAGCUUGCUUCUCUGAUGUUAGCGGCGGACGGGUGAGUAACACGUGGAUAACCUACCUAUAAGACUGGGAUAACUUCGGGAAACCGGAGCUAAUACCGGAUAAUAUUUUGAACCGCAUGGUUCAAAAGUGAAAGACGGUCUUGCUGUCACUUAUAGAUGGAUCCGCGCUGCAUUAGCUAGUUGGUAAGGUAACGGCUUACCAAGGCAACGAUGCAUAGCCGACCUGAGAGGGUGAUCGGCCACACUGGAACUGAGACACGGUCCAGACUCCUACGGGAGGCAGCAGUAGGGAAUCUUCCGCAAUGGGCGAAAGCCUGACGGAGCAACGCCGCGUGAGUGAUGAAGGUCUUCGGAUCGUAAAACUCUGUUAUUAGGGAAGAACAUAUGUGUAAGUAACUGUGCACAUCUUGACGGUACCUAAUCAGAAAGCCACGGCUAACUACGUG